GAUGAACGCUGGCGGCGUGCCUAAUACAUGCAAGUCGAGCGAACAGACGAGGAGCUUGCUCCUCUGACGUUAGCGGCGGAAGGGUGAGUAACACGUGGAUAACCUACCUAUAAGACUGGGAUAACUUCGGGAAACCGGAGCUAAUACCGGAUAAUAUAUUGAACCGCAUGGUUCAAUAGUGAAAGACGGCUUUGCUGUCACUUAUAGAUGGAUCCGCGCCGCAUUAGCUAGUUGGUAAGGUAACGGCUUACCAAGGCAACGAUGCGUAGCCGACCUGAGAGAGUGAUCGGCCACACUGGAACUGAGACACGGUCCAGACUCCUACGGGAGGCAGCAGUAGGGAAUCUUCCGCAAUGGGCGAAAGCCUGACGGAGCAACGCCGCGUGAGUGAUGAAGGUCUUCGGAUCGUAAAACUCUGUUAUUAGGGAAGAACAAAUGUGUAAGUAACUAUGCACGUCUUGACGGUACCUAAUCAGAAAGCCACGGCUAACUACGUG
rnacentral:rRNA from 1 species